GUUUGGUCAGGGUAAAGAGGGAAAAAUAAAUAAGAUUUCAUUUUCUCAUAUGCUUUUAGAUCUGGGAAUUUGUGUGCUCUAAAUCUCUUCCUCAGAAUCUAUUCUUCAGGAUUGACUGAUUUGAACUACUAGUUGUAGAGAUCUUUUCGUCAAACCCUCUCAAAUCUAGGACCUUGUAAAAUUAGUUUUAUCAAAUUUGCUAGUUGUUGGCACAAUCAUUUGAAAAGAGCAAAUUAUAUGAAAAACCAAAAUUAGUUUUUCUCAUUUUGAAUUAUAAGAUGAUCAAUCAAAUCGCUCACAGAUUUCCUUCCACCAAAAUCAUACAAAUAAAUCACCAGUUCAAACUUCUUCGAAAACGCCAUUGAAUCGAUCAAAUCACUGUCCUUCUCACGCAAAAUAGAUCAAAAACAGAGAAGUUUCAUUAGGCAUCUAGGAUGGGUGCGUUUAAUUCAAAUAAGGAGGUGAUGGUCUGUUUACCUUGUAUUACUCGUUCUAAUCUGCGUACUGCAAAUGUUUUUGCUUACCGUGUCUUCCGGUUUGCAUACUCCUUAGUUCAAAUUUUGUUUGUCAACAAUAAAGUUUGAUGUGUAAUCUGGGUUGCACUUGGUCUAUAAAAAAUAGACGGAGACUUCAUUUUUGUUUCUCUGUUCUACGUGAUUCAGAUGGAGGUGCAAUAGAGAUGCACAGGGAUUUUGCUGGAAUCAAUUGGGGAAAGGAGGAUGCUUGUUAAUCUUUGCAGACUCAAGUGCAGUUGAAGGAUCUGUUAAAAUCCUUGGGAGCUAUUCGUCCAAUAGAGAAUGGACUGGGAAACCUUUCUAAUAUUGCAUCUUUAUUAUGUUCUUGCAGGAAAUCUUAAGUCGUCCUGUAAUUGAACCCCUUUUGGGCCAGAGUUAUUGGGAAUAACGAUGUUAGCGAACCAAACAAGCUCUGAAGUCCGAUGCUGUUACCCAAGCGCUCAUGUGAAUUAGGCUAGAUACAUAAAUUGAAGGUUUUACGGAGAACAACAUCCUGGGCGUCAGGCAUUGCGAAGGCGCUCCAGAAGUUCGCUGGGAUGGCUGCGACUAUGCAAAUUCUUCUGAAGAAAGCGUGAACAAGACCCUACAACAAGAGGGGCAGCGGAAGCUACUAAAUUGAAGACACUAAAGUUCAUGAUUUUCAUCUCACUAAUGAAAGAAUGAUAUUAAUUUUAUUUAUUCUGAUCCUUUGUUGUAUCGUUUUGUUAACCUUGAAUUUCAAUGACAACGAAGUGUUUAAGAAAUAAAUGUGCUUUUUCUAGG